GUGGUUAUUUCCACACGGUUUUAAUCAAUGCCAUCAGACCGGGGUUUUCAAUCUGUGUCGGUCUUCCAUGCAAGUACAGUAUGACGUAUAUACAUUUUGUUUCGGGACAAGUCAGUAGAACGAAAUGAGCGGGAAGUUCUUGGCUGUGCGUGUGUGCUUUUUGGUCUACUUUUUGUGCUUGAUUGAUGGAGUGACUUCGCAACACAAGGACAUUGAUGUGGGCGGCGGU